GUGAGGUCCAGGGGGAGAACUCCUUCCCUCUCAAAACCCUAAAUCACAAAAUCCCAUCAAUUGAAAGCCAAAUUAUUGAAGAAUCGAAUGCAUGAACUAAGAAUCCUGAUUAUCUAAGUGUUCUUGAUCUCAAGCACGAAGAAGGAAGAAGGCGCAAGUCACUCGAAGGCACAAGCAUCUCAGGAUCGCGCUGCUUCACAUAAGCUCUAAUCCAGGAAGCUCGGUGAAAGUUUGGGCCUGAAGUCCGAAUCUUUGUAAUUGUUCAUGGGUCUGUUUUCUAGAGAUUGAAUCCAAUGGGCCUUAGAGAAGCUGUUGUCUGCUGGUGUUAGUUGACUGGUCUAACGGUUGGGACAUUAGUUUUUUUGAUAUUCAAGUAUUAACAAAAAAUAUUAGUUUUUUUUUUUUUUUCUAGAGAUUGAAUCCAAUAAGCACAAAACCAAACCUUAUUAAUUAAUUGUUUAAGCUAAAAAGAAGAUGUCAACUUGUAUUUGGUUUUGUGCUUAUUGUAUUUGACAUUUUGUGCUUUUUAUAUUUUAAAAGUCAUUUUUUAUUAA